GUGUUUUCAGAGUUGUAAGGACAACUGAAAAGAUGACCGCGAAAGAAGUGUAACUGGUGAUAUUUCCGCUGGCCACUCCCGUAUAUAACGAGAGUUUGGAGAGGAAGUUUUGAAAACAGGGAGGACCGAUCCCUGUUCCCACCGCUGACUUCCAGACCAGAGUCGCUGGUGCUUCUGAGAAGGACAUUGUUCACUCUGGCCUGGCCUACACCAUGGAGAGAUCUGCCAGGCUGAUAAGAGUGGAACCUGGUGUUGUCGUCUGCUGCAAUAGCCCAUCUAUGAUGAGUUGUGCAUUCCGAGAUGUCGUUCUACACACCACUGUUGUACAGCGCCAUUAUUUGCCGGUUUGUGGUCCGCCUAUUAGCUUGCACAAUUCUUGCCAUUCUCCUUUGACCUCUGUCAUCUACAAGCUGUUUUCGCCCACAGGACUGCCGCUGACUGGAUGUUUUUGUUUGUCGCACCAUUCUCGGGGAAACCCUAGACACUGUCGUGCAUGAAAACCCAAAGAGGCCAGACGUUUCUGAGAUACGACGCGCCUGGCGCCAACAACCAUACCACACGUAGUGGCUUAAGUCAUUCAUUUUCCCCAUUCUAACGUUCAAUCAAACAGUAACUGAAUUCCUCGAUACCUGCUUUAUAUAGCAAGCCACGGUCACGUGACUCACUGUCUGUUGGAGCGAACCAUUAUUAUGAACGGAGUGGUGUACCUAAUAAACUGGCCACAGUGUACAAUGAUAAACAAUAUGGCAGUAUUUAAAUGUGUAAAUAGUGUUAUUAACUUAAUAUAAUGUAUAUAAUAUUAUUUUAUGUGUACUGUAGCUCUGUUAACUGUAUUUAGUAAUAAUAUGAUAUAAUGUUGUAUUAGGAGUUGUGUUGACUGUGACUCUUCCUUCAGAGGCCAGAACAGACAGUAAAAUGUGUCCAGUUCUCACUAGGUUAUGUUUAUAGAGGAAGAUGUCAAAUUCUACCUAGCAGAGCUGGCUCUGGCCCUCGACCACCUGCACCAUCUUGGCAUAGUUUACAGAGACCUCAAACCAGAGAUGUAUUUUGUGGGACGAAGCAAGGGGACAAGAUGAGGGAAAGUUCCGCUAACAAGGGCAACUACUAGGAGCUUGCAGAGGCACUGUGUCACGGCCGUCGUUCAAGGAAGACCAAGGUGCAGCGUGUCAAAUCCUGUCCUCAUUGGAAGAGUUGAGUUCUUCUCCAACACCAUCCAUCCAUGAUGAGCUUGUCCUGCACUGAAUCCUCUGAACAUAUCAACCCAGGUCCUGCACUGAAGUCAAGCCUCUAAACACCUUAACUCAUGCUUCAUACCCUCAUUCAAAUCACUGCUGUGAUCCCUUCCCAACAUGGCGGUGCCGGGGGGCGGAGUUGGGAGGGUCGUCAGCUUCAUGGGAAACACCUGGGCCAGGUGUCUCCCAGGAUAAAUAGACCUCUUCCACAUUCAUGGAAGAGACUCUCUCCAUGCAGACACCUUUAUGGAUUUUGUUGUGUUUCUUGGUGGUUUUUGGGUUGUUUGCGACAGCACCUUUCAACACCCUGCAUUAUCACAUUCAUGCAUGCAAAACACUCACUUACACUACUGAUUACACACCAUUGUAUAUUUUCCUUAGUUGCUUUAGUUAAUAAAUAUAUAUUUUGUUAAUCCUUAUCUCCACGUUGUCUCCCUUUGUUACGGGCUUUGAGCCGGUUCGUGACACUGACUCCUGACACUUGUU